UAUCWGGGGUAAACCUGAGAAACCCGAAAGUUCGAAAGGGGAAAUUCAUUCGCGUUUCGAAUGUUAAAGUUGAGAGAUUGUGCGACAGAUGGCGUUCGCGUCGUCUGCACCUUUUUUUCUUCUAAUUGACGUCGAACGCGUGCACUUUUCCCCUAGUAGGACGUCGCGAUCCGUUGGGUGUCUGUCUAAGACUCAAAGUGGAGCCCAUGAGACUUUUGUCGCGUGGACCUUUGAAGUUCCGACAGACUCGCUCGACGGUAUACGAAAGGCAUGGGGCCGCUACUCAGUUAGCGUUCGGCCCGUGACAAGCACGUUCUGUGUUUGACGGCUAUCGGACCUGGUGCCGAUUCUGUCCCGGAACGACUGUUGGUUGCGGUGUUCUCGAACAGACCUCAAUGAAAUGCCGAUCAGCGACGCUAUAGCUUUGGGUACUUUCAGGACCCGUCUUGAAACACGGACCAAGGAGUCUAGCAUGUGCGCGAGUCAUUGGGUUAAUAUUAAACCUAAAGGCGCAAUGAAAGUAAAGGUUUACCUUGCGUAGACCGAGGGAGGAUGGGUGGUUUGCCCUUAAAGUGGCCACUCCGCACUCCCGGGGCGUCUCAUUCUCAUCACGAGAAGAGGCGCACCAAGAGCGUACACGCUGGGACCCGAAAGAUGGUGAACUAUGCCUGGUCAGGACGAAGUCAGGGGAAACCCUGAUGGAGGUCCGUAGCGAUUCUGACGUGCAAAUCGAUCGUCGGAACUGGGUAUAGGGGCGAAAGACUAAUCGAACCWUC
rnacentral:rRNA from 1 species